UACGUAGGGUGCAAGCGUUAAUCGGAAUUACUGGGCUUAAAGGGUGCGUAGGCGGCGCAGAAAGUAGGGUGUGAAAUCCCUCGGCUCAACCGAGGAACUGCGCCCUAAACUACUGUGCUCGAGGGAGGUAGAGGUGAGCGGAACUUAGGGUGGAGCGGUGAAAUGCGUUGAUAUCCUAAGGAACACCGGUGGCGAAAGCGGCUCACUGGACCUCUUCUGACGCUGAGGCACGAAAGCUAGGGUAGCGAACGGG
rnacentral:rRNA from 1 species